UAGGGAAUAUUAGUAAUGGGCGAAAGCCUGAACUAGCAACGCCGCGUGUGCGAAGAAGGCCUUCGGGUUGUAAAGCACUUUUUGAGAGGAUGAGGUAGGACGGUACUCUCAGAAUAAGUCUCGGCUAACUACGUGCCAGCAGCCGCGGUAACUCGUAGGAGGCAAACGUUAUCCGGAUUUACUGGGCGUAAAGCGCGUGUAGGUGGUUUGUAAGUAGGGCGUGAAAGCUCCUGGCUCAACUGGGAGAGGACGUUCUAAACUGCCAAGCUUGAGGAUGGUAGAGGGAGGUGGAAUUCCGGGUGUAGCGGUGGAAUGCGCAGAUAUCCGGAGGAACACCAGUGGCGAAGGCGGCCUCCUGGACCACUCCUGACACUCAGACGCGAAAGCUAGGGUAGCAAACGG
rnacentral:rRNA from 1 species